ACUAAUGCAAGGCAAACUUGUGAUGGUAUGUGUGUGCCGACCACUGAUCUAAAUUGACCAAAAAACAAAAAAAGUGUAUUUUUAAAAACAUAUUUAUUUCCAGGAAAGUCUCUUACAGACUAAGAUUUUUUUUUAAACAGUGAAACUAAAAAGAUGUGAAUUAUUUACUUUUGUGUACAGAAUCAUAUUUAUAACAUGGCUAUUUAAAUAAAGGUCUCAAACAUCUCAAAUUAUCAGUCACUGAAAAAGUGUUAAUUUUCUUGUUAUAUUCUGAAGACUAAUUUUUUUCUAAUAUAAGAUGCAAUUUCUGAGUUUGAGCCCUUAGAGCCUCCGGAAAAGACGUUACAGAUGGCAAUGACAUGCAUAAAAACCUAAACUGCUCCAAGAUAAUGCCAACGCAGACCCCAGAUGCUGACAAGGAGUUGCCAAAGACUCCCAUAUCGACGGGAACUCCCGAGCCGCAGUUUUAAAACAAAAUAAUAAUUAAAUUGAAAAGAAAUUACAAAACACUGCAGUACUAUUCAGCGCUUUUUAAGUACUUAAUCACAGCAUAAAGCUGAUCACCGAGCGCUCAAUGAGCCCUUAACUUUUAUGAAAAGUUGUGCUGAUCUUAGCAUAGGCAUAUCCAACGAUUCACUGCUCAAAAAGUGACACACAUUGAAAACACUUUAAGCGUCUUUUAAGCACAAAGAAACGCUAUAAGGGCACUUUGUUGGCGUUGCGUUCGGCUCUGCCGUUGUUGCGUUAUUCCGACGGAUUUAGUAAACACAUUUACUCUACGAGUAACGGGUAUAAAAAGUGAUGUUCGUUCCACGUGCUUCGAAAAAUGUUGUUGCUCUCUGCCGCCUACUUUACGUCAAUACUUUAACAGAAUCGCAAAAAAGAAAGGGGUACACCUCGAAGCAGGAACCGUGCAGAAGGAGAGCUAUUUCGAAUACAAAUUAUUUGCGUUCUUAAAUAUUACAAUAAAAAGGUCCUCCGGAAAGCUGA